ACGGCGGGUGCUAACGUCCGUCGUGGAGAGGGAAACAACCCAGACCGCCAGCUAAGGUCCCCAAGUACUAGUUAAGUGGGAAACGAUGUGGGAAGGCAUAGACAGCCAGGAGGUUGGCUUAGAAGCAGCCACCCUUUAAAGAAAGCGUAAUAGCUCACUGGUCGAGUCGGCCUGCGCGGAAGAUGUAACGGGGCUAAAACUAGUCACCGAAGCUGCGGAUGUGCGCGAAGGCGCACGUGGUAGGGGAGCGUUCUGUAGGCUGAUGAAGGUGCAUUGAGAAGUGUGCUGGAGGUAUCAGAAGUGCGAAUGCUGACAUGAGUAACGAUAAUGUGGGUGAAAAGCCCACACGCCGGAAGUCCCAGGUUUCCUGCACGACGUUAAUCGGAGCAGGGUGAGUCGGCCCCUAAGGCGAGGCUGAAGAGCGUAGUCGAUGGGAACCAGGUUAAUAUUCCUGGACUUUUUAUAAGUGGUGAAGUGGGGACGAAGAAGGCUAGGUGAGCCAGGCGUUGGUUGUCCUGGUACUUGCAUGUAGGGGGGAAGACUUGGCAAAUCCGGUUUUCCAUAACUCUGAGGUGCGAAGUGGUUCUGACCUUUUGGUACAGAGAAGUCAUUGAUGCCCGGCUUCCAGGAAAAGCUGCUAGCCAUAACUUAUAGAGAACCGUACCGCAAACCGACACAGGUGGACAGGUAGAGAAUACUAAGGCGCUUGAGAGAACUCG
rnacentral:rRNA from 1 species